AGACAAAUCACAUGAGACCUUGUUAGAAGCAGAAUCUGACCAGGAUUCCCAACAGGGGCCUGGGUUCUGCAUUUCUAACAAGUCCCCAGCAUGGGCAU
rnacentral:miRNA from 1 species